UGAGGAAUAUUGGGCAAUGCCCGCAAGGGUGACCCAGCAACGCCGCGUGGAGGAUGAAUGUCGUAAGAUUGUAAACUCCUGUUAGAGGGGAAGAAUAGUACCGGUUGGACCGGUAUAUGACUGUACCCUCAGAGAAAGCCCCGGCUAACUACGUGCCAGCAGCCGCGGUAAUACGUAGGGGGAAAGCGUUGUCCGGAUUUACUGGGUGUAAAGGGCGCGCAGGCGGGAUAAAAAGUCAGUGGUGAAAUCCUACAGCUUAACUGUAGAACUGCCUUGGAUACUUUUAUUCUUGAGUUCGGGAGAGAGAGACGGAAUUCCAGGUGUAGUGGUGAAAUACGUAGAUAUCUGGAAGAACACCAGUUGCGAAGGCGGUCUCUUGGUCCGACACUGACGCUGAGGCGCGAAAGCGUGGGGAGCAAACA
rnacentral:rRNA from 1 species